rnacentral:lncRNA from 1 species
GGAGUCAUGAGUCUGGGAUACACGUGUACACUGUGGAGUGUUUAAAUCACAAUGCGCACUUCUAAUUCUGACAUUUAUGAGAUCCUUCCCUUUGCGGCCACAUGGAUGGAGCUGGGAGCGGGGUGAGGAGGCUGUGAACCUUGAGGGGGGUGACCCUUCUAGAGAUGAGGGCCCAAAUGGCGAUCCCAAGCCCAUUUAUUUAUCGCAAAGUAUCAACACCACAACUGAACCUGAAUGAUGAGUGUGCACUUUACAAAAUCACCUCACACACUACAUCUUCUGCCUUAAAAGAGAAACAAGGAACACGUAUGCCACAGGUUCGCCGCCACAGGCUUAAGUCACCGUGUCUGUGAAGAGAAGGAAGAGGAAAACCCUGCAGAGCUGCCAACUUCGAUGGAGAUGCCUCUGCCUCUGCUGAGACAAAAAGGACAACUGAAGCAGAAAAUGGGCAGAGUAACAGGCUCCCACCGCCGGGGUCUGGAGCCGGGGGCUGAUUUGGUAAACCAUGAAGCUGGGUCCAACCUGGUGGACGGUGAAGCAGGCAGCCAGCUGGAGGUGCAGUGCAGCUUCUGGGAACUCGCCGGGGACGACUCCUGGAGCGCCCGUCUCUGCCAGCUCCCUUUCGGAAG